AUUGAACGCUGGCGGCAGGCCUCACACAUGCAAGUCGAACGAGUGGCGGACGGGUGAGUAAUGUCUGGGCCACUGCCUGAUGGAGGGGGAUAACUACUGGAAACUGUGGCUAAUACCGCAUACCAUCAGAUGUGCCGAGAUGGUAUUAGCUUGUGGGGGGGGAAAAGGCUCACAAAGGCGACGAUCCCUAGCUGGUCUGAGAGGAUGACCAGCCACACUGGAACUGAGACACGGGCCAGACUCCUACGGGAGGCAGCAGUGGGGAAUAGUGGACAAUGGGCGCAAGCCUGAUGCAGCCAUGCCGCGUGUAUGAAGAAGGCCUUCGGGUUGUAAAGUACUUUCAGCGGGGAGGCGUUACCCGCAGAAUAAGCACCGGCUAACUCCGUGCCAGCAGCCGCGGUAAUAC
rnacentral:rRNA from 1 species